rnacentral:rRNA from 1 species
GAACGCUGGCGGUGCGCCUUAUGCAUGCAAGUUGAGCGAAGCUUUUUGGUAGUUUACUACUAGAAAUGACUGAGCGGCGAACGGGUGAGUAACGCGUGAGCAAUCUACCUUAGUUACUGGGAUAGCCCGAGGAAACUCGGAUUAAUACCGGAUAUUCUUAUUUUUUCACAUGAAGUUUUAAGGAAAGGUCAGCCGAACUAAGAUGAGCUCGCGUUCUAUCAGCUAGUUGGUGGGGUAAAAGCCUACCAAGGCUACGACGGAUAGCUGGUCUGAGAGGACGAUCAGCCACACUGGGACUGAGACACGGCCCAGACUCCUACGGGAGGCUGCAGCAGGGAAUAUUGUGCAAUGAGCGAAAGCUUGACACAGCGACACCGCGUGUGGGAUGACGGUUCUAGGAUUGUAAACCACUUUCAGGAGGGAAGAAAAUGACGGUACCUCCACAAGAAGACCCGGCCAACUAUGUGCCAGCAGCCGCGGUAAUACAUAGGGGUCAAGCGUUGUCCGGAUUUAUUGGGCGUAAAGAGCUCGUAGGCGGUUCAACAAGUCGGUCGUAAAAGUUUAGGGCUCAACCCUAAAAUGUCGAUCGAUACUGUUGUGACUAGGAUACGGUAGAGGUGAAUGGAAUUCCGAGUGUAGCGGUGAAAUGCGUAGAUAUUCGGAGGAACACCAAUUGCGAAGGCAGUUCACUGGACCGUGAUCGACGCUGAGGAGCGAAAGCUAGGGGAGCAAACAGGAUUAGAUACCCUGGUAGUCCUAG